AGGUUGUGGUGUGGGCAUUCUCUAUGUAGGUCUUUGAACCUAUUCCAUGCUUUUCAGUGUCUCAUCAGGUUCUUGUUGGAAGGUAGUAAGUUUAAGUCUGAUUUC
rfam:Beta vulgaris subsp. vulgaris chromosome 9, whole genome shotgun sequence.